rnacentral:rRNA from 1 species
ACAACGGAGAGUUUGAUCCUGGCUCAGGAUGAACGCUGGCGGCGUGCUUAACACAUGCAAGUCGAACGAGCCUUCGGGCUAGUGGCGGACGGGUGAGUAACGCGUGGGAAUCUGCCCUCAGGAGGGGGAUAACGGCCGGAAACGGCCGCUAAUACCCCAUAUGCCGAGAGGUGAAACGAAUUUCGCCUGAGGAUGAGCCCGCGUCUGAUUAGCUAGUUGGUGAGGUAAUGGCUCACCAAGGCAUCGAUCAGUAGCUGGUCUGAGAGGAUGAUCAGCCACACUGGGACUGAGACACGGCCCAGACUCCUACGGGAGGCAGCAGUGGGGAAUUUUCCGCAAUGGGCGCAAGCCUGACGGAGCAACGCCGCGUGAGGGACGAAGGCCUCUGGGCUGUAAACCUCUUUUCUCAAGGAAGAAGACAUGACGGUACUUGAGGAAUAAGCCACGGCUAAUUCCGUGCCAGCAGCCGCGGUAAUACGGGAGUGGCAAGCGUUAUCCGGAAUUAUUGGGCGUAAAGCGUCCGCAGGCGGCCUUGAAAGUCUGUUGUUAAAGCGUGGAGCUCAACUCCAUUUCAGCAAUGGAAACUACAAGGCUAGAGUGUGGUAGGGGCAGAGGGAAUUCCCGGUGUAGCGGUGAAAUGCGUAGAUAUCGGGAAGAACACCAGUGGCGAAGGCGCUCUGCUGGGCCAUAACUGACGCUCAUGGACGAAAGCCAGGGGAGCGAAAGGGAUUAGAUACCCCUGUAGUCCUGGCCGUAAACGAUGAACACUAGGUGUCGGGAGAAUUAACCCUCUCGGUGUCGUAGCCAACGCGUUAAGUGUUCCGCCUGGGGAGUACGCACGCAAGUGUGAAACUCAAAGGAAUUGACGGGGGCCCGCACAAGCGGUGGAGUAUGUGGUUUAAUUCGAUGCAACGCGAAGAACCUUACCAGGGUUUGACAUCCUGCGAAUCCCUUGGAAACUUGGGAGUGCCUUCGGGAACGCAGUGACAGGUGGUGCAUGGCUGUCGUCAGCUCGUGUCGUGAGAUGUUGGGUUAAGUCCCGCAACGAGCGCAACCCACGUCUUUAGUUGCCAGCAUUCAGUUGGGCACUCUAGAGAGACCGCCGGUGAUAAACCGGAGGAAGGUGUGGAUGACGUCAAGUCAUCAUGCCCCUUACAUCCUGGGCUACACACGUACUACAAUGCUACGGACAAAGGGCAGCAAACUCGCGAGAGCUAGCAAAUCCCAUAAACCGUGGCUCAGUUCAGAUCGUAGGCUGCAACUCGCCUACGUGAAGGAGGAAUCGCUAGUAAUCGCAGGUCAGCAUACUGCGGUGAAUACGUUCCCGGGCCUUGUACACACCGCCCGUCACACCAUGGAAGUUGGCCAUGCCCGAAGUCGUUACUCCAACCCGCAAGGGAGGAGGACGCCGAAGGUGGGGCUGAUGACUGGGGUGAAGUCGUAACAAGGUAGCCGUACCGGAAGGUGCGGCUGGAUCACCUCCUAA